rnacentral:rRNA from 1 species
UACGUAGGGGGCGAGCGUUGUCCGGAAUUACUGGGCGUAAAGGGUGCGUAGGUGGCCUUUUAAGUUGGAUGUGAAAUACCCGGGCUUAACUUGGGGGGUGCAUCUAAUACUGGAGGGCUAGAGUGCAGGAGAGGGAAGCGGAAUUCCUAGUGUAGCGGUGAAAUGCGUAGAUAUUAGGAGGAACACCAGUGGCGAAGGCGGCUUUCUGGACUGUAACUGACACUGAGGCACGAAAGCGUGGGGAGCAAACAGG